UCCCUGGUGGUCCAGUGGUGAAGACUCUGUGCUAUCACUGCAGCGGGCCUGGGUUCGAACCCUGGUUGGGGAA